CCCGGUGACCAUAGCGAGAGGGCCACACCCGUUCCCGUCCCGAACACGGAAGUUAAGCCUCUCAGCGCCGAUGGUACUGCGUGGGAGACUGCGUGGGAGAGUAGGACGUCGCCGGGU
rnacentral:rRNA from 1 species